rnacentral:rRNA from 1 species
AUUGAACGCUGGCGGCAGGCCUAACACAUGCAAGUCGAGCGGAUGAAGGGAGCUUGCUCCUGGAUUCAGCGGCGGACGGGUGAGUAAUGCCUAGGAAUCUGCCUGGUAGUGGGGGAUAACGUCCGGAAACGGGCGCUAAUACCGCAUACGUCCUGAGGGAGAAAGUGGGGGAUCUUCGGACCUCACGCUAUCAGAUGAGCCUAGGUCGGAUUAGCUAGUUGGUGUGGUAAAGGCCUACCAAGGCGACGAUCCGUAACUGGUCUGAGAGGAUGAUCAGUCACACUGGAACUGAGACACGGUCCAGACUCCUACGGGAGGCAGCAGUGGGGAAUAUUGGACAAUGGGCGAAAGCCUGAUCCAGCCAUGCCGCGUGUGUGAAGAAGGUCUUCGGAUUGUAAAGCACUUUAAGUUGGGAGGAAGGGCAGUAAGUUAAUACCUUGCUGUUUUGACGUUACCAACAGAAUAAGCACCGGCUAACUUCGUG